rnacentral:rRNA from 1 species
CCUACGGGGCGCAGCAGUGGGGAAUAUUGCACAAUGGGGGAAACCCUGAUGCAGCGACGCCGCGUGAGUGAAGAAGUAUUUCGGUAUGUAAAGCUCUAUCAGCAGGGAAGAAAAUGAAGGUACCUGAUUAAGAAGCCCCGGCUAACUACGUGCCAGCAGGCGCGGGAAUAGGUAGGGGGCAAGCGUUAUCCGGAUUUACUGGGGUUAAAGGGGGUGUCGACGGAAGGACAGGUCUGGAGUGAAAUGCCGGGGCUUAACCCCGGAACUGCUUUGGAAACUGUGCAGCUUGAGUGCAGGAGAGGUGAGUGGAAUUCCUAGUGUAGCGGUGAAAUGCGUAGAUAUUAGGAUGAACACCAGUGGCGAAGGCGGCUUACUGGACUGUAACUGACGUUGAGGCUCGAAAGCGUGGGGAGCAAACAGGAUUAGAUACCCUGGUAGUC